rnacentral:rRNA from 1 species
CGGCAGGCUUAACACAUGCAAGUCGAACGCGUGUAGCAAUACACGAGUGGCGCACGGGUGAGUAACGCGUGGAUAUCUGCCUUUGGUUCGAUAACCCGGAACUGGGCUAUACGAUGGUUCUCGGGUAAAGAUUUAUCGCCAAAAGAUGAGUCCGCGUACGAUUAGCUAGUUGGUGAGGUAAUGGCUCACCAAGGCGACGAUCGUUAGCUGGUCUGAGAGGGCGAUCAGCCACACUGGGACUGAGACACGGCCCAGACUCC